rnacentral:lncRNA from 1 species
GUGAAUUGAAGAAUCAGUUAUUUUCCCACCUCUCACAGUAAUACAAGUACACAAAUGGUGUCAGACAGAUUUCAAGGAAUAGUAACUGCAGCAGAGAAGAGUCUAUGAUGCUGAAGGUGCUUGGAAGAAGGAAGGUGGACCUGAAAUAAUUUGGAGAAGAGUAAAGGGACUGAUCCAGGGACGCUGAAAUCAGUGGGAGUCUUCCAUCAGGC